AGGGGCUUAGGAUAAUGCCCCAAGUCCAAGGGCCUUCAAAGCCCUAUGCGGGAGUUCAAACCUCUCAGCCCCUG
rnacentral:tRNA from 1 species